CCUACGGGAGGCAGCAGUAGGGAAUAUUGCUCAAUGGGGGAAACCCUGAAGCAGCAACGCCGCGUGGAGGAUGAAGGUUUUCGGAUUGUAAACUCCUUUUGUUAGAGAAGAUAAUGACGGUAUCUAACGAAUAAGCACCGGCUAACUCCGUGCCAGCAGCCGCCGUAAUACGGAGGGUGCAAGCGUUACUCGGAAUCACUGGGCGUAAAGAGCGCGUAGGCGGGAUAGCAAGUCAGAUGUGAAAUCCUAUGGGUUAACCAUAGAAGUGCAUUUGAAACUGUUAUUCUAGAGUAUGGGAGAGGUAGGUGGAAUUCUUGGUGUAGGGGUAAAAUCCGUAGAGAUCAAGAGGAAUACUCAUUGCGAAGGCGACCUGCUAGAACAUAACUGACGCUGAUGCGCGAAAGCGUGGGGAGCAAACAGGAUUAGAUACCCUAGUAGUC
rnacentral:rRNA from 1 species